AUACCCUAUACAGAGUAUAGUGUUUUCAGUGUGUGUCAUUACCAAGGCUUCUUGUUUGUUUUCUACAAUGAAAUCAAUUGUGUUGCUUAACUUGCAUGUGCUUCAAUUUGCUUUCAUUUGUUUUUGCUUUGCAGAACAAGGGUUAUAUUUUACAAGAUAUUUUUUGUUUAGCUCACCUCCCUGAAGGGCAUUUGAGCAUAUACUGUGAUGUCCAUCAUCCGUCAGUCUUGCAUCUAUGUUUCCCUUUAAACAACUUCUUCUGAAUAAUCAAAUGGUUCAGGAUCAUGAUAUUGGGCCAGUAGCAUGCUGAUGAUGCUGGGAUUAUGGGUUUUACCAAAUUUGAUAAAAUGAUUGACCUUUACCUACUUUCAAAGUAAUAGGGGUCAAAUGUGUAAAAACCAAGAGGCCCUGUGUCAUAUGAUAUUGGGCUGGUAGCAUCCUGGUAUGAAGGGCUAGCAAGCUUUUGUUCAAUACUUUCAUGGUCACAGGGGUCAAAUAUGUUGAAAUCUUUUAAAGACUUUUCAAUAACCAGGACCCAGGGUCGUGAUAUUGGGCUAGUAGCAUACCGGGAAGAAGGUCUACCAAUUUUGUUCAAAUGACUAAGCCUUAACCUACUUUCAUGUUCACAGGGGUUGAAUGUGGUAAAACAAUUUUUUAUAAACUUCUUCUCAAUACCCAAGAGAUCCUUUAAAUAUCAAGAUAUUGGGGUAGCAGCAUGCUGAAAUGAAAGGCUACCAAGUUUGUUGACCAUUAAUAACUUCUCAUUUACCUGAAGACCGAGGGUCAUCAUACUAAGUCAGUGACAAUUUAUUUGAAUGAAUGAACUUAGCCUUAUCAUCCUACUAAUUAAAUUAGAUUAGUAUCAAAAUCUUGUUUACCCCCCCUCCCCCCUCCCCAUUUAAGUUCUUACUGUAAUCCUACUGUGACAUACUCAGGUUGGAUCACUGUACUGUGAUACUAAGGUUGAAUCACUGUACUGUGACCUGAGAGAAUGAAUCGCUGUACUGUGACAUACUGAGGUUGGAUCACUGUACUGUGACAUACUGAGGUUGGAUCACUGUACUGUGACAUACUCAGAUUGAAUCACUGUACUGUGACAUACUGAGGUUGAAUCACUGUACCAUGAUAUACAGAGGUUGAAUAACUGUACUGUGACAUACUGAGGUUUGAACACUGUACUGUGACAUACUGAGGUUGAAUCACUGUACUGUGACAUACUGAGGUUGAAUCACUGUACCAUGAUAUACAGAGGUUGAAUCACUGUGCCGUGACAUACUGAGGUUGAAUCACUGUACUGUGACUUACUGAGGUUGAAUCACUGUACUGUGACUUACUGAGGUCGAAUCACUGUACUGUGACAUACUGAGGUUGAAUCACUGUACUGUGACAUACUGAGGUUGAAUCACUGUACUUUGACAUACUGAGGUUGGAUCUCUGUACUGUGACUUACUGAGGUUGAAUCACUGUACUGUGACAUACUGAGGUUGGAUCACUUGACUGUGACAUACUGAGGUUGAAUCACUGUACUGUGACAUACUGAGGUUGAAUCACUGUACUGUGACAUACUGAUGUUGAAUCACUGUACUGUGACAUACUGAUGUUGAAUCACUGUACUGUGACAUACUGAUGUUGAAUCGCUGUACUGUGACAUACUGAGGUUGAAUCUCUGUACUGUGACAUAAUGAAGUUGAAUAACUGUACUGCGACAAACUCAGGUUGAAUCACUGUACUGUGACAUACUGAGGUUGAAUCACUGUACUGUGACAUACUGAGGUUGAAUCUCUGUACUGUGACAUAAUGAAGUUGAAUAACUGUACUGUGACAAACUGAGGUUGAAUCACUGUACUGUGACAUACUGAGGUUGAAUCACUGUACUGUGACAUACUGAGGUUGAAUCACUGUACUGGAAGUGACAGAUUCCACUGAACUUUGACGUACUAUCAUUAAUAAGAUGGAAUCCACAUUACUAUGACAUGGUUGAGUAGAAUCACAUGAGAUUAUGGAAAUAUUAUGAUUUUACUGAUGGACAUGAUGGUUGUGUUAUCAGUAUAUCUCUCCAGGAGACAGGUAAUACAUUAAUACCUCUGAUGGGUUUGCUUUACUGUUGUGCUUUUGUGUUUUGCAUGCUAGUAAAUGUAUAUAUAUAACAAAUACCAAGGCUUGGCACUUUAAGAACAUUGUAGUACAAAUCACGCCAUUUUAGUUUCUGGACAUGUAAUAUUCCUCGGGUCCAAAAUAAUCAUAACACCUUGGGACAAUAACCAACUUUUAUCAAAAACACUGCAUGCAUGUACAUAAAGGUUGUUUUUUAUAAAGAAAUUUGCCAUUUUGAUAAGGAAGGAAUUUAAAUGUGAUGUAUUAAUAAAAAACUUUCGUCAGCUAAACAGGAAAAGUAUGUUUCUGUAUAGUUUUUAUAAGUCAUGCUAGAUUGAUGGCAGAAUUCAUGAUGAAACUUCUUGCUGUAUUACUUAGGAUUAGAGUCAUGUAGAUGGUGAAGGGAAUAGUAUACAUUCAGUCAUGAGAAUGAUGGAGGAGAGAGAUUCAUUGAAUCAUGAGAAUGAUAGAGGAGAGAGAUAGUCAUUGAAUCAUGAGAAUGAUGGAAGGGAGAGAUACAUUGAAUCAUGAGAAUGAUGGAGGGGAGAUAUAUAUUCAGUCAUGAGAAUGAUGGAGGAGAGAGAUAGUCAUUGUAUCAUGAGAGUGAUGGAAGGGAGAGAUACAUUGAAUCAUGAGAAUGAAGGAGGAGAGAGAUACAUUGAAUCAUGAGAAUGAUGGAGGGGAGAGAUACAUUGAAUCAUGAGAAUGAAGGAGGAGAGAGAUACCUUGAAUCAUGGGAAUGAUGGAGGGGAGAGAUACCUUGAAUCAUGGGAAUGAUGGAGGGGAGAGACAAAUUGAAUCAUGGGAAUGAUGGAAGGAGAGAUACCUUGAAUCAUGAGAAUGAUGGAGAGGAGAGAUACCUUGAAUCAUGAGAAUGAUUGAGGUGAGAGAUAUAUUCAGUCAUGAGAAUGAUGGAGGGGAGAGGUACAUUGAAUCAUGAGAAUGAUGGAGGGGAGAGAUAGUCAUUGAAUCAUGAGAAUGAUGGAAGGGAGAGAUACAUUGAAUCAUGAGAAUGAUGGAACGAGAGAUACCUUGAAUCAUGAGAAUGAUGGAGGGGAGAGAUAUCUUGAAUCUUGAGAAUGAUGGAGGGGAGAGACAAUUGAAUAAUGGGAAUGCUCGAGGAGAGAGAUAGUCAUUGAAUCAUGAGAAUGAUUGAGGUGAGAGAUAUAUUCAGUCAUGAGAAUGAUGGAGGGGAGAGGUACAUUGAAUCAUGAGAAUGAUGGAGGGGAGAGAUAGUCAUUGAAUCAUGAGAAUGAUGGAAGGGAGAGAUACAUUGAAUCAUGAGAAUGAUGGAACGAGAGAUACCUUGAAUCAUGAGAAUGAUGGAGGGGAGAGAUAUCUUGAAUCUUGAGAAUGAUGGAGGGGAGAGACAAUUGAAUAAUGGGAAUGCUCGAGGAGAGAGAUAGUCAUUGAAUCAUGAGAAUGAUGGAGGA